rnacentral:rRNA from 1 species
GAUGAACGCUGGCGGCGUGCCUAAUACAUGCAAGUCGAGCGAAUGGAUUAAGAGCUUGCUCUUAUGAAGUUAGCGGCGGACGGGUGAGUAACACGUGGGUAACCUGCCCAUAAGACUGGGAUAACUCCGGGAAACCGGGGCUAAUACCGGAUAACAUUUUGAACCGCAUGGUUCGAAAUUGAAAGGCGGCUUCGGCUGUCACUUAUGGAUGGACCCGCGUCGCAUUAGCUAGUUGGUGAGGUAACGGCUCACCAAGACAACGAAGCGUAGCCGACCUGAGAGGGUGAUCGGCCACACUGGGACUGAGACACGGCCCAGACUCCUACGGGAGGCAGCAGUAGGGAAUCUUCCGCAAUGGACGAAAGUCUGACGGAGCAACGCCGCGUGAGUGAUGAAGGCUUUCGGGUCGUAAAACUCUGUUGUUAGGGAAGAACAAGUGCUAGUUGAAUAAGCUGGCACCUUGACGGUACCUAACCAGAAAGCCACGGCUAACUACGUGCCAGCCGCCGCUGUAA